rfam:Candidatus Yanofskybacteria bacterium RIFCSPHIGHO2_01_FTLL_41_53 rifcsphigho2_01_scaffold_3457, whole genome shotgun sequence.
ACUCAUUAAAUUAAGGGCGUAUGGAGGAUGCCUUGGCACAUAAAGGCGAUGAAGGUCGUGGCGUGACUGCGAUAAGCUUCGGGGAGCCGUCUAGCGGGCUUUGAUCCGGAGAUGACCGAAUGGGGGAACCCAAUCAAGCAAACCUUGAUUACUCGACCAUAUUAAAGUGGUCGGGAGUGCACCUGGCGAAGUAAAACAUUCUAGUAGCCAGAGGAAAAUAAAUCGAAAAGAUUCCGUAAGUAGCGGCGAGCGAAAUCGGAACAGCCUAAACUUACGCUUCACUUUCACGAAGUGAAAGUGAGCAUAUUUAAAUAUUUAAAUAUCGCUUCGCUUUCGUUUCUCGAAAGUGGAGCGUGAGGGUUAUAAGGGCAGAACACUGAAUCUCAAAUAUCGAAUGCGCCUAAAGCGUAAGCGGUAUUUGAUAUUCUGAGAAGUUACAAAACCCAAAGUUAGCAGAACGGCCCUGGAACGGCCGGCCAAAGAAGGUGAUAGCCCUGUAAGCGAAAACUUCUGGGACUUCUGUUUUGUUUCUUGAGUAGCUCGGGAUAAGAAUGUCCUGAGUGAAUUUGCCCAUACUACUGGGUAAGGCUAAAUACUUUAUGUGACCGAUAGUGAACCAGUACCGUGAGGGAAAGGUGAAAAGAACCCCGGCGAGGGGAGUGAAAUAGUAACUGAAACCAUAUGCCUACAAAGAGCCGGAGCUUCGUGGCUCACUAUUGUUCGCCACAAUUAUCAUUUAACAUUUUCCAUUUUCCAUUGAUUUAUCAUUGUUACAUUGUUUCAUUGAAUAAAUUAUUGGUAAUUGGUAAAUGAAAACUGGUAAAUGUGAUGAGCGGUAGCGAGUCACGGGGUAACGGUGUGCCUAUUGAAGAAUGACCCAACGAGUUUAUCUAAAUGACACCUAUAAGUUCCAAAAGAACGUAUGGAUAGGGAAACCGAGUGUUAAAAGCGCGUCAUCCAACUCAAAUUUUUGGAUUUAAAAAGCCGCUCAUCUUAUGAGCGGUCUAGAUUCUUACAAGGGGUAUACUGCUUUAUACCAUUCGUAAUCAAAUGUUUUGAUCACGAAUCCAGUACACCAUAUCACAAAGAAAAGUCCUGCUAAAAAGAAUGAAGCACCCAGUAUGCCUGCAAAAAAUACUGGAAGUCUGCUUUGUACUAGCAAUGAAAAUAUCUUAGUGAAACCGAAUAAAAAUAGAGCAGUUGAACCUAUAAGUACUAAAUAAACAAGAAACGUGACCAUUGUGUCUCCUCAAGGAACUACAGAAACUUGUAAAGAGUUUAUAUUAAAUUUUUCAUUUUGUCAAGUAUCAGGACUUUCCGUGAAAGUCUGAAAACUUUUAACGUUUGAGUCAAGUUCGAGGAAAAACUGAGCAUCGAAGCGAGCCAUAGUUCGACUAUGGUGAGCGAGAAGCGGAAGUUUUGACGAAGAAAUUGACCAAACCCUGAAAGGGUGCGUCGGUCUGUAAUUCGCCGAAGGCGAAUAGGCCAGCACGAAAAAGUUUAAGUUCAAGAAUUUGAGUUGGAUAUGUCGUUUGGAUAAGACCCGAAGCCAGAGCGAGCUAACCAUGACCAGGAUGAAGCUUCGAGAAAUCGAAGUGGAGGUCCGAACCAAUUGACCGCUCAAUGUCACCGGAUGAGUUGUGGUUAGAAGUGAAAAGCUUAUCGAGCCUGGUAAUAGCUGGUUCUCUCCGAAAUGCGUUUAGGCGCAGCGGUAUUAAGUAAUGUGGGGGGUAGAGCACUGAAUGGUUUUCCGUGCCCUUAUGGGUAGGAUUACCAGCCAAACUCCGAAUACCCACAGGGACCUCUUUCAUGAUAAUAUCUGAAGCGAAAUUUUUAUUUUUCGAGCGAGACGAAAUGAAACCGACGAGACAUAGUUUUAAUACUAUGUCGAGGAGGUUUCAUAAAGUAGGAGCCGAAAAAUAAAGAUUGUAGCCAGAUGGUUAUUAUGAAUGAGGUCCCAUAUAUUGAUACCAGUGAGUGCGUGGGGGCAAAGCUUCACGUACGCGAGGGAAAGAGCCCAGAUCAUCAAUUAAGGUCCCUAAAUCUAUGCUAAGUGUGAAAGGAAGUGUUUUGCCUUAGACAGGUAGGAUGUUGGCUUAGAAGCAGCCAUCAUUUAAAAAGU